rnacentral:rRNA from 1 species
UACGUAGGGGGCAAGCGUUGUCCGGAAUCACUGGGCGUAAAGGGCGCGUAGGCGGCCAAUUAAGUCAGUUGUGAAAUACCUCUGCUUAACGGAGGGGGGUCAGUUGAAACUGAUUGGCUGGAGUGCAGGAGAGGAAAGUGGAAUUCCCGGUGUAGCGGUGGAAUGCGUAGAGAUCGGGAGGAACACCAGUGGCGAAGGCGACUUUCUGGACUGUAACUGACGCUGAGGCGCGAAAGCGUGGGGAGCAAACAGGAUUAGAUACCCUGGUAGUCCACGCCGUAAACGAUGGAUGCUAGGUGUAGGGGGUAUCGACCCCCCCUGUGCCGUAGUGAACGCAAUAAGCAUCCCGCCUGGGGAGUACGGCCGCAAGGUUGAA